GGCCCUGUAGCUCAGUUGGUUAGAGCGCGUGCUUCACAUGGUGAUCGCACGAGGUCCCCGGUUCGAGCCCGGGCAGCGUCA